rnacentral:rRNA from 1 species
GACGUAGGGUGCAAGCGUUGUCCGGAUUUAUUGGGCGUAAAGGGUUCGUAGGCGGUGUGGCAAGUCGGGAGUGAAAUCUCUGGGCUCAACUCAGGGGCUGCUUCCGAAACUGCCGUGCUAGAGUGUGGGAGAGGCGCGUGGAAUUGCAGGUGUAGCGGUGAAAUGCGUAGAUAUCUGCAGGAACACCCGUGGCGAAAGCGGCGCGCUGGACCACUACUGACGCUGAGGCGCGAAAGCUAGGGGAGCGAACGGG